CCAUAGCGUAUAUUAAAGUUGUUGCAGUUAAAAAGCUCGUAGUUGGAUUUGUGGCAGGUGCGUGCUGCCCGACACUGUGUGUUGGUGUUAGUGCGCUCCGCCAUCCUUGGGUGGAACCUGUGUGGCAUUAGGUUGUCGUGCAGGGGAUGCCCAUCUUUUACUGUGAAAAAAUUAGAGUGUUCAAAGCAGGCUUAUGCCGUUGAAUAUAUUAGCAUGGAAUAAUGAGAUAGGACCUUGGUACUAUUUUGUUGGUUUGCGCACCAAGGUAAUGAUUAAUAGGGACAGUUGGGGGUAUUCGUAUUCCAUUGUCAGAGGUGAAAUUCUUGGAUUUCUGGAAGACGAACUACUGCGAAAGCAUUUACCAAGGAUGUUUUCAUUAAUCAAGAACGAAAGUUAGGGGAUCGAAGAUGAUUAGAUACCAUCGUAGUCUUAACCAUAAACUAUGCCGACAAGGGAUUGGCGGGGUUUCAUUUUGUCUCCGUCAGCACCUUAUGAGAAAUCACAAGUCUUUGGGUUCCGGGGGGAGUAUGGUCGCAAGGCUGAACCCUUAAAGAA
rnacentral:rRNA from 1 species